rnacentral:rRNA from 1 species
UGGGGGAUAUUGCACAAUGGGCGAAAGCCUGAUGCAGCGACGCCGCGUGGGGGAUGAAGGCCUUCGGGUUGUAAACUUCUUUUGCUCUGAACAAGGCAUGCUAAUGGGUGUGUUGAGUGUAGGGGUUGAUUAGCGCCGGCUAACUACGUGCCAGCAGCCGCGGUAAUACGUAGGGCGCGAGCGUUGUCCGGAAUUAUUGGGCGUAAAGGGCUUGUAGGUGGCUGGUUGCGUCUGUCGUGAAAGCUCAUGGCUUAACUGUGGGUUUGCGGUGGGUACGGGCUGGCUUGAGUGCAGUAGGGGAGGCUGGAAUUCCUGGUGUAGCGGUGGAAAGCGCAGAUAUAAGGAGGAAUACCGGUGGCGAAGGCGGGUCUCUGGGCUGUUACUGACACUGAGGAGCGAAAGCAUGGGGGGCGAACAGG